UACGUAGGGGGCUAGCGUUGUCCGGAAUCAUUGGGCGUAAAGAGCGCGUAGGCGGCUAGAUAAGUCCGGUGUGAAAGUCACAGGCUCAACCUGUGAAUGCCGCUGGAAACUGUCUGGCUAGAGUCCGGAAGGGGCGAGUGGAAUUCCUGGUGUAGCGGUGAAAUGCGCAGAUAUCAGGAGGAACACCAAUGGCGAAAGCAGCUCGCUGGGACGGUACUGACGCUGAGGCGCGAAAGCGUGGGGAGCAAACAGGA
rnacentral:rRNA from 1 species